rnacentral:rRNA from 1 species
CCUACGGGUGGCAGCAGUGAGGAAUAUUGGUCAAUGGGCGUAAGCCUGAACCAGCCAAGUCGCGUGAGGGAUGAAGGUUCUAUGGAUCGUAAACCUCUUUUGUAAGGGAAUAAAGUGCGGGACGUGUCCCGUUUUGUAUGUACCUUAUGAAUAAGCAUCGGCUAACUCCGUGCCAGCAGCCGCGGUAAUACGGAGGAUUCGAGCGUUAUCCGGAUUUAUUGGGUUUAAAGGGUGCGUAGGCGGCCUUUUAAGUCAGCGGUUAAAGGCCGUGGCUGAACCCUAGAGGUGCCGUUGAAACUGGGAGGCUGGAGUAGGAUUGAGGCAGGCGGAAUGCGUGGUGUAGCGGUGAAAUGCUUAGAUAUCACGCAGAACCCCGAUUGCGAAGGCAGCCUGCCAAGCCAUGACUGACGCUGAUGCACGAAAGCGUGGGGAUCAAACAGGAUUAGAUACCCCGGUAGUC